rnacentral:rRNA from 1 species
CCUACGGGUGGCAGCAGUGGGGAAUAUUGGACAAUGGGCGAAAGCCUGAUCCAGCCAUGCCGCGUGUGUGAAGAAGGCCUUCGGGUUGUAAAGCACUUUCAGUGGGGAAGAAAGCCUUGGGGCUAAUACCCUCGAGGAAGGACAUCACCCACAGAAGAAGCACCGGCUAACUCCGUGCCAGCAGCCGCGGUAAUACGGAGGGUGCGAGCGUUAAUCGGAAUUACUGGGCGUAAAGCGCGCGUAGGCGGUCUGAUAAGCCGGUUGUGAAAGCCCCGGGCUCAACCUGGGAACGGCAUCCGGAACUGUCAGGCUAGAGUGCAGGAGAGGAAGGUAGAAUUCCCGGUGUAGCGGUGAAAUGCGUAGAGAGCGGGAGGAAUACCAGUGGCGAAGGCGGUCUUCUGGACUGACACUGACGCUGAGGUGCGAAAGCGUGGGUAGCAAACAGGAUUAGAUACCCUAGUAGUC